rnacentral:tRNA from 1 species
GAGGGCAUAGCUUAGUGGUAGAGCACAUGCUUAGCAUGCUUGAGAUCUUGGGUGCAAUCCCCAGUACCUCCA